rnacentral:rRNA from 1 species
CCUACGGGAGACAGCAGUAGGGAAUAUUGCUCAAUGGGGGAAACCCUGAAGCAGCAACGCCGCGUGGAGGAUGAAGGUUUUCGGAUUUUAAACUCCUUUUUUUAGAGAAGAUAAUGACGGUAUCUAACGAAUAAGCACCGGCUAACUCCGUGCCAGCAGCCGCGGUAAUACGGAGGGUGCAAGCGUUACUCGGAAUCACUGGGCGUAAAGAGCGCGUAGGCGGGAUAGCAAGUCAGAUGUGAAAUCCUAUGGCUUAACCAUAGAACUGCAUUUGAAACUGUUAGUCUAGAGUAUGGGAGAGGUAGGUGGAAUUCGUGGUGUAGGGGUAAAAUCCGUAGAGAUCAAGAGGAAUACUCAUUGCGAAGGCGACCUGCUAGAACAUAACUGACGCUGAUGCGCGAAAGCGUGGGGAGCAAACAGGAUUAGAUACCCCAGUAGUC